UAUUGAGGAUGAUGUGCAUUGCUUCAAAUUCAAAAGAUUGUAUUUUGUUGAACUACAUGAUAAAGGGAACAUCAUUUCCAUUGGGUUUAACAAUUUUCUGUGAUCAUGUAAUUACCAAUGAAAGUAUACUUCAGCUUUAUAGUUUCUUCGCAUCGAUAAUUGCAUUAUUUCUUCAGAUAGCA